AGAGGUGAUCAGCGGCUGUCCAGACCUUUCAGAGCCACUGACACACCGGCAGCACAAUGAUGAUGUCACUGACUCUACUGCUGGCCACCCUGGGGCUCCUUGUUCAGGAUUCAUCAGGAGAAAUCCUCCUGACUCAGUCUCCUGGAUCUCUGUCUGUUGUUCCAGGACAGACUCUUUCUAUCAAAUGUACAGCCAGUACAAGUGUUGGUGGAUGCCUUAACUGGUACCUUCAGAAACCUGGAGAAGCUCCUAAACUCUUGGUAUAUCAUGCUACAUCUCUUCAGUCUGGAGUUUCAAAUCGUUUCAGUGGAAGUGGAUCUGGGACUGUCUACACUCUGACCGUCACUGGAGUUCAGACUGUAGAUGCAGGAGAUUAUUAUUGUCAGCAGUGUAGCAGCCGGCCGUUCACACAGUGAUACAACGUCGUACAAAAACCUCCUCAAAUAAAGAGGAAGUGAUCUGAAUGAACAACUGCACAGAAAAGAAAAUAACUAUAAGAUUCAUUAACUAACAUUUUUUAAUGUAAUACCACAACAGCACUUUCAGCAUUCAAAAGAUUUGAAUAUUUCAGUUAAAAAUAGUUUUACAAUUUCUUUGUGAUUUGUGAGUACCAAAAGGUUUGCUAACAGCUUUAAUAGCCACUCUAUAACAUUGGCCCUAAUAACUGUCAACCCCAAGUGACAUUAUAGCACAUAUUUAAUAAACUAAUGUAGAUUUUGUAUAAA